rnacentral:rRNA from 1 species
AUUGAACGCUGGCGGCAUGCUUUACACAUGCAAGUCGAACGGUAACAGGCCUUCGGGUGCUGACGAGUGGCGAACGGGUGAGUAAUGCAUCGGAACGUACCCAGAGGUGGGGAUAACGCAGCGAAAGCUGUGCUAAUACCGCAUGUGAUCUGAGGAUGAAAGCGGGGGACCGAGCAGCAAUGUUUGGCCUCGCGCCUUUGGAGCGGCCGAUGUCGGGUUAGCUAGUUGGUGGGGUAAAGGCCUACCAAGGCGACGAUCCGUAGCUGGUCUGAGAGGACGACCAGCCACACUGGGACUGAGACACGGCCCAGACUCCUACGGGAGGCAGCAGUGGGGAAUUUUGGACAAUGGGCGCAAGCCUGAUCCAGCAAUGCCGCGUGCGGGAAGAAGGCCUUCGGGUUGUAAACCGCUUUUGGCAGGAACGAAACGGUGUCCGCUAAUACCGGGCGCUAAUGACGGUACCUGCAGAAUAAGCACCGGCUAACUACGUG